CCAAACACCCCCCAAGCCCUUUGACCCGUGUCUCAUAUUCCCUGCAACGCUACCGUCCGCCGCAACCGGAAAUCUCCCCAUGGUGGCCGCAAGUCUCCAAUGGACACCAAACUUACACCAAAGCUUCGCCUUUCCCUCCUCAUACCCAUACCACCAUCGGUCCCUCUCGAAUCUCACCAGAAAUCGUCAAAAUUUUCAAACCCUAGGGCGCCGCACUUGAAUCCUCCGCCGCAGCCGGUGGCUCAACUCCAAACCCCAACAAAAUAACAUCCUGAGACCACCUCCACUCCCUCAUUGCAAAUCCUCACUCAUAUUGUCUCGAAAAUCUAUGGAACUCGUUGAACUAAAUCAAAGGAUGAAUCCUAAUUUUUGAAAAACCCUGGGUGGGGGUUUUGAUAGAAGAUUUGGUUAUAUUGUGAUGUUAUUCGUGUGUUCUUAUUAAGAACACACGAUUAACAUCAUAAUUAAACUAGAAAUAAGAAGGAGUUGAGGAUCCAAACCUUAUUUUCAUUUUCCCAAGUUUCAGUAAGUGUUCCCUUUUUUGUUUUUUGGUUUAUUUUUAUUAUUUCCUUUCAUUUUCAUCUUUUCUUCUUAUUUUGUUUUCUAGCCCUCCAAUUAUGUUGUUGCAUGUUAAUUUUUGGAUAGCAUCUUUACUUGUUCUUGGUUUACUGGUUAGUCUACAAUAUUGAAUUUAAUCAAUUAGGUAUCCGAGUCCAGUUUUAGUUUUGAAAAGUCCAGCAGUUAGUUUCUUUUGUGUCCCAUUGAGUUUAUGAUGUUGUUUGGGCCUUGAGGCCACUCUGGGCUACUUCAAAAGAGCUCGAUGAGUUUUGGGUCAAGUUUGGCCCAUUCUUACAUUGGCUCAAAUUGGAGGGGGUAAUUUUAAGGGUUUAAGAGGGUAGUUUGGGUAAUGAAGUAGGGAAAUCUUGUGAAUAAUUGAUUUAGAAGCUUCUAGUAGGGGGUUUUUGAUCAAAUUUCAGACUAUAGCUUGACCAACAAGUCAUAAAAUAAAGGAUUAAGUAGCAACAUAGGAAAUUAAAAAGGGACUAAAAGGCAAAGUUGAAAUCUGAAGUGUUUACCCUAUUUGCUUGCCUAUAAAGACAUUAUAACCUUAAGCUAAAGUCAGAUUUGGAAGAUCUAAGAAAUACAAAAAGAAAAACGACUAAAAAAGGAAAAAUCACUGUUCCAUGCCAUUUUGGGUAAUUUCUUGAGUUCCUAUUUCCUGAGAGGGUGUUCUUGCUUAAGAUAGUCCAAAAAAAAAAGGAUUGAAAUUGAGAUUGGAGUUUUGGUUUUGAACUAUGUUAUGGUAUUUGCUCGAGUGAAGCUAUUUUCUGUUAUUUUGGGAUUCAAUCUAGUUAAGCUGUGCUACUGCUGGUGUUGCUAUUAUCAGUUGAUACUAUUUUGUUGUGCUAAUCCUCUUCCUUUCUCUUACUUUGCUCUCCAGGGACAUAGUCCUAAAACUCAUGUAAUUUGAUGUUCCAAUUGAGAAAUAAAAGUAGAGAUGAGAAUUCUGAAGCAUGGCAUUAGUUCUUUGGCUCUUUAAUUUAGUUUUAUCUUCUUUUCUUCUUCUUUGUUUUCUAAAAUGUCAUCACUGUUAUUCCUAGGAGGUUUCAAAUUUUGUAAACUAGUUUAUUUCCAUUGCAGUUGCUAUUUGAUGUGUAUGUGUUAAGGCUGGUUUGUAAUACUAGUUGAACUGUCGACUCUUGAUUGAUAGGUUUUCGUUAGAAAUAUUAUAAAGUUGUAGCUGUUAGUUUCAUAUUGAUCAGUUCUGAGUCCUGCACUCUGUUUGAUUCUACUGGGAUCAGUUGAUGGCUCUAAUGCAGAUUUUGUAUUUAAGUUGACUGUGAAAAAAUGAUAAGUGGUCAGAUGGUUGUAUGAGGUUCUGUUCGUAUGAGACCUAUUUGAGAUUUAAGUCUGCAAGUUUGUAUUUGAAGCUAGUGUUUGAGAUUUGGAAAUUGAAGCUUGGCUCAUAGGUGAUUGUCAAACUUGGAUUUUCAAUGUUCUUUUUUAAUCUGUAGUGCUUUAGUUUGUUAAAUUCCAUGUUAAUUGCCUCUUGCUAAGUAAAAUGAGUCCAGAAGUUGUUUGCAUGUAUUUGGUCCCAUUGAAUGUUUGUUUUUCCUUGGACUCGACACUGAAUCUCUCAUUUAAAUACGGUGAGGAUCUGAAAUUGGGCUCAUUCCUGGUCUCAAGCUUGACAGCCUCUUUUGAAUAAAAUCUGGGUCGCUCCUCUAAUUGGACUUUCAGUCAUUUUUUACUAGUUCAGGCCUUUUCAUUAGUUUUUU
rnacentral:lncRNA from 1 species